rnacentral:rRNA from 1 species
UGGGGAAUAUUGCACAAUGGGGGAAACCCUGAUGCAGCGACGCCGCGUGAGUGAAGAAGUAUUUCGGUAUGUAAAGCUCUAUCAGCAGGGAAGAUAAUGACGGUACCUGACUAAGAAGCCCCGGCUAACUACGUGCCAGCAGCCGCGGUAAUACGUAGGGGGCAAGCGUUAUCCGGAUUUACUGGGUGUAAAGGGUGCGUAGGUGGCAAGGCAAGUCAGAUGUGAAAGCCCGGGGCUCAACCCCGGUACUGCAUUUGAAACUGUCUGGCUAGAGUGCAGGAGAGGUAAGCGGAAUUCCUAGUGUAGCGGUGAAAUGCGUAGAUAUUAGGAGGAACACCAGUGGCGAAGGCGGCUUGCUGGACGAUGACUGACGUUGAGGCUCGAAAGCGUGGGGAGCAAACAGGAUUAGAUACC